rnacentral:rRNA from 1 species
GAUGAACGCUGGCGGCGGGCCUAACACAUGCAAGUCGAGCGAACGGACGAGAAGCGUGCUCCUCUGAUGUUAGCGGCGGACGGGUGAGUAACACGUGCAUAACCUACUUAUAAGACUGGGAUAACUUCGGGAAACCGGAGCUAAUACCGCAGAAUAUUUUGAACCGCAUGGUUCAAAAGUGAAUGACGGUCUUGCUGUCACUAAGAGAUGGAUCCGCGCUGCAUUAGCUAGUUGGUAAGGUAACGGCUUACCAAGGCAACGAUGCAUAGCCGACCUGAGAGGGUGAUCGGCCACACUGGAACUGAGACACGGUCCAGACUCCUACGGGAGGCCGCAGUAGGGAAUCUUCCGCAAUGGGCGAAAGCCUGACGGAGCAACACCGCGUGAGUGAUGAAGGUCUUCGGAUCGUAAAGCUCUGUUGUUAGGAAAGAACAAAUGUGUAUUUAUCCGUGCCCAUCUUGACGGUACCUAAUGAGUAAGCCCCGGCUAACUUCGUG